AUUGAACGCUGGCGGCAUGCCUUACACAUGCAAGUCGAACGGCAGCACGGGGGCAACCCUGGUGGCGAGUGGCGAACGGGUGAGUAAUGCAUCGGAACGUGCCCAGUAGUGGGGGAUAACUAGUCGAAAGAUUAGCUAAUACCGCAUACGACCUACGGGUGAAAGCGGGGGAUGCAGCACUUAAUGUUUUGGAUGGCUACUUGUGGCCGCCUCGGGACAGUCUCAGGUGAGAACAUUAAGUGCUGCACCUCGCGCUAUUGGAGCGGCCGAUGUCUGAUUAGCUAGUUGGCGGGGUAAAANCCCACAAGGCGACGAUCAGUAGCUGGUCUGAGAGGACGACCAGCCACACUGGGACUGAGAC
rnacentral:rRNA from 1 species